GACGAACGCUGGCGGCGUGCCUAAUACAUGCAAGUCGAGCGGACCAAAGGGAGCUUGCUCCUGGAGGUUAGCGGCGAACGGGUGAGUAACACGUGGGCAACCUGCCUGUAAGACAGGGAUAACAUCGAGAAAUCGGUGCUAAUACCGGAUAAUAAAAAGAACUGCAUGGUUCUUUUUGAAAGAUGGUUUCGGCUAUCACUUACAGAUGGGCCGCGGCGCAUUAGCUAGUUGGUGAGGUAACGGCUCACCAAGGCGACGAUGCGUAGCCGACCUGAGAGGGUGAUCGGCCACACUGGGACUGAGACACGGCCCAGACUCCUACGGGAGGCAGCAGUAGGGAAUCUUCCGCAAUGGACGAAAGUCUGACGGAGCAACGCCGCGUGAGUGAUGAAGGUUUUCGGAUCGUAAAACUCUGUUGUUAGGGAAGAACAAGUGCCGUUCGAAAGGGCGGCACCUUGACGGUACCUAACGAGAAAGCCACGGCUAACUACGUGCCAGCAGCCGCGGUAA
rnacentral:rRNA from 1 species